CACGUAGGGCGCAAGCGUUGUCCGGAAUUAUUGGGCGUAAAGAGCGCGUAGGCGGUCCGAUAAGUCGGCUGUGAAAGUCAAGGGCUCAACCCUUGAAAGCCGGCCGAUACUGUCGGACUAGAGUCCGGAAGAGGCGAGUGGAAUUCCUGGUGUAGCGGUGGAAUGCGCAGAUAUCAGGAGGAACACCAAUAGCGAAGGCAGCUCGCUGGGACGUUACUGACACUAAGGCGCGAAAGCGUGGGGAGCGAACAGG
rnacentral:rRNA from 1 species